CAGCCGCCACGGGAAUACGAAGGGGGCUAGCGUUGUUCGGAAUUACUGGGCGUAGAGGGCGCGUAGGCGGCGACGAUAGUCAGAAGUGAAAGCCCCGGGCUCAACCUGGGAAUUGCAGUGGAUACUGGAUCACUAGGGUGUGGUAGAGGAUAGUGGAAUUUCCGGUGUAGCAGUGAAAUGCGUAGAGAUCGGAAGGAACAUCUGUGGCGAAGGCGACUAUCUGGGCCAACACUGACACUGAGGCACGAAAGCGUGGGGAGCAAACAGGAUUAGAUACCCCAGUAGUCCCUGUCUCUUAUAC
rnacentral:rRNA from 1 species